CCCAACACCAUAACCACUAAGCGACAACGGCAGGCACUCACGUAAUGUCGACGUGUCUUCUACAGAAGUACGUGGCGAGGAGCGAGCGUCCGUGGAGAGGGCAGAGAAACCGCUCGUUCGCCUUCGAGCUCAGUGUGGUUUAGGGAUCCUUUAAGCGACAAUUUUCCGCGUAACAUGUAUUUCACGGUUGCUGACGCUAUGUGGCAGCUUCUAAUUGAACUAAUUACUUAAAAUUCGCUGAGUAACAUUUAACUGACAUCUUUAGGGGACAUGUAAUCCUAAACUCGAAGCUAACCCGAGCGUAAAGCCCGCACAUUUGCUAUAUGCCAUGUACCUAGCACCGGGUAUUGACAGCUUUCCCGUGACGUCACGGACAGAGCUUCUCGGCGUGGCGGCUACGAUGACGUCAGUGCAAGGCAUCGAUCGAAAAACACGUUCAUGAUCUUCGACAAAAUUAAUUGCUAUUUUAGCGAACACUUAUCGGCACCGCAUUUUCUUCCCAAGAGAUUAAUGGUUUGCACUGACAAUUCAACUUCCCUGAGAACCAAAAUAAAAAAAAAAAUGCGUAAGCUCUCUCUGUGCCGGGUACUUCUCUGGUCAGCGUCUUAUCGCGUUCUGUGUCUCGAGCAGUGCACCGUGCACUGUCUCGGACAGGAAGACACGCGCCGUUCCGCCGGAGUUCCGCCGUGGCGAGAAAUAACGAUCUUUCCUUGAAGAGCCGCUAGGGACAAACGUACGCCGCAGCAGGUCGGCGUUAUCCGUGCUGAUAACGAAUGCGAAGCUUACAUCCACGCCAUACGCCUCGGCAGUGAAAGUGGCCUGCGGUGCGUGCAGUUGCUUUUGAGUGCUCGUUCGCUCGCUGCAGAAACGGGCGUCUGAGAUUACGCAGCUUCAUCUUCUUUAUUUUCUUCUUUUUUUUUUUAGAGCCGAGAUUCGAUCGACAGUUUGCCGGCGUCACAAAGAAGCUAUAUACGGUGGUCAGUUGUUGCAAUAUGAAAAGGACGAAACAUAUAAUUAGACGAGGGGAAGCCCGGAAGAAUUUGCCUUGACUUACGACGGCAACUGCAACAUGGGCUUGUUCGUACGACAUUGUAUGGUGUUCCAUAGUUGCGCAAGCAAGAACACGAACAGAAGGAGCCCUUACAAGAACCAUCACAGAGGUACUGUUAAGAACGGCCUGCUCAGGUGCAAGUUUUACCAGCCAGGUGCGAGAGCGGCGUCGACUUUUCCUGGAAAGCCACCGCCACCCUCUAGCCAUACGGCGUCACUAAGUCUACUGUGUGCGGAGAACAAUACGCCGCGUCCUCGACCCUUCAUCGCGGGACUGCCGAGAUGAGUUCGACGAACCAGGCUUUGUGACUGAACACGCCACCGCCGACCCGGUCUGCCGUGAGCAAGGGAGUUCCCGAGGGAACGUUUUUUUGGAGGCCCCUUCCCACGCACCGUUCCGGACGUAAGCCCUGAGUUCCGCAAAGUCCGUCUGCCCUCGGUGGGGUCCGUGAAACCGGUGUGGAAGCGUGUUCCGGACCGUGAAACCGGUGCGGAAGCCCUCCCGCUCAAAGGUGGCUCGUCUACUGAUCGAACGUUUCUCUCACCUAGGGAUCGAGGGAGGACCAAGUGUUUAUAAACCGUUGUUGUGCGGCUGCUCAAUGUACUUUCUCUCGCAGUCAUGCUAGACUGAUGAACUGCAACAUCCUUAUGUAGAUACUGUAAAUAAACCCAUAUUCCUCGUU